rnacentral:rRNA from 1 species
UACGUAGGGUGCAAGCGUUGUCCGGAAUUAUUGGGCGUAAAGGGCUCGUAGGCGGUCCAUCGCGUCGGGAGUGAAAAGCUGGGGCUCAACCCCAGUCCUGCUUUCGAUACGGGUGGACUAGAGGUAUGCAGGGGAGAACGGAAUUCCUGGUGUAGCGGUGAAAUGCGCAGAUAUCAGGAGGAACACCGGUGGCGAAGGCGGCCUGCUGGGCUGUUGCUGACGCUGAGGCGCGACAGCGUGGGGAGCAAACAGG